UAAUAAGCAUUAAGCAACUUAAAUCAAUAACUCAGUCAUAAAUACACCAAUCAAUAUGAAAUUUUUACCAUAGUACAAGAGCAUCAUUUAUAGCCCACCAUAAAAAUUUCACAGAAAUUGGAGCACCACAACAUUAGAUAUAAAAAUGACAAGCAAAAUAAGUUGCCUAUUUAUCAAGAUUAAAUCAAAACAUGAUAAAAACAUUACACAACUAGCAUGUUCAAUAUUUUUCUUAGCUAGAGAGUGUCAUCACAAGACUAACAUAACUGAAAUCACAAUCUUUGGACUUCUAUAACUCAAAAUAUGCAUCCAACCAACUUAAAAGGAUUUCUAAAAGCACUUUGCAAGGAUAAAAAAAACAUCAGAAACUUUAUACUAACACAUAUCAUACUAUGACUCUAGUGUGUAAAUCUACUCACAAGGAUUCCAAAACAUCUUCAUUUGCUAUUUUACGAUUUUUACAAUUUACUAUAAAUUUCCAAAGUUGCAGCCUUUUUAGAUCUAGGAAAUAAAGAAAACCGAGGCAAACUUUCAAUCUAGCCCCCAGGUCUACGGGUUAUUUGCACAAAGGUCUCUGGAUUUCACCCAUAACCCCCUACACUUCUUUAUUCUUCUCCACACAAGUCCCUCAUGCCUAACAGAUCACACGCACGGUAACACACAGGCACGACCGGCCAUGGCCCUUGGCCAGCGGUAGGGAGAAAGAAGGGGCACGGCUUGGGGAGGGAGAGGGGCGGCGCACGGGGGCCAGGAAGCUCACCAGAAGGGGCCGGCGAUAAGGGAUAGGUGGCGCGCAGGGAGGCCCGUGGCGCAGGAAGCGGGCGGAUGGGGGCUCGCCGUGGAGAGAGUUGCCCGGCGAGGGAGGAUGGUCGAGAAGUAGCAAAAUGGAAGCGCGACGUCGAGAGGAUGCUCUAGAUGCAAGGAAUCGACCGGAGACUCAACAAUGGCGACGAAUUUGGCCAGCCAAGAAUGGAGAUUUGGAGGUUGGGGCACUACCCAUGGAGGAUGGGAGGAGGGGAGGCCGGCCUUGUUUAUAGGAGGGGGAGGGUGAGGAUAAGGAUGACGCGGUGACUCACCCCCGAGCGCAAAGAUUGGAGGGGAGGAGAGGUCCCAUUGGCACCGGCUAGGUGGAGCUCAGCCCCUCUAGGCCAAAAGCGUUCGUCUGGUGAUGUGAGGAAACAGAAGAAGUGCUGAUGCAUGGGCUCGCGGAGAAAUAAAACAUGCCAACUUUGACCCCUUAAACGGCCUAGCUAUCGGUGUCCAAAAAUUGUCCAAAAAUACUUGUUGGAACGAUAAAAUCACCAAAAAUCCAACGCAAUAGGAAUCAACUCGAAAGCUAUUAUAGUUUGCACAAAAUUGACAAAACAAAACAACUAAAAUUGAACUUUAAAUGAUUUUUUGGCACAAGAAAACAUCUCUGAAAAUUUGGUAAAAAUAUUUAAAUCACUAAAUGGUGUCUAAUAUUUGAAUAAAAUAUUCGGGGGCACAAUUGUAUGGAAGAAAUUGGGGUUCCUUCACAAAUUUGAUUUUUCACCAAUAAAUAACAAAAUUCUGGGCACUUAACAAUGCAUGGCCGAAACAUUCAUUUAUGCACAAAUGAUGCUCAUGAUGGCCAACUAUGUAGAAAAAGAUGUUCAUGAUUCUUAAUUAUGCAUGAUGGUGCUCGUGAUGCGUGUCGUGAUGAAGGUGUCGGGUUUAACGCGUAUUCUCACACCAAGUUCGAACUACGUGAUUUAAUUUCCAAAAGUGAAGGUUCGGCAACAAGGUAUGUGCUAUGACUUUUAUAAAGAUCAACAAGGAAAAGCUCGACGAAGUUGGGGAUAGGAUGGUAGGAUCUUUGGUGGAACGUCGGUCAAAGCUAUUUUGGAAUCGGAUUUGAAAUUUUACUGAUUGUCUACUCGAUUUUGGAACAACCUCUACUCAAAAUCAGAAGAAGUGCUGUGAGUGGAAGGUGUUCAAAUUUGUUUUUAUUUACUUCAUAAGUGAUUCUCAACAAGAGGGAGUUUUAACACUUGGUUCAAAAUCUGAGGUAUUUUUGGACCUUAACUCUCAACAAAUUUGGAGUUAGCUAUGAUUUGCUUCAAUCACCCCGUUGAUUAUUUGAUUUAGGUUCUUAGUUACUCGGGCUAUCAUAGUGGGUCAACCUCGACUGAAAAUGGAGGAAGAUCAUGGAACUGCUCAUAAUCUUCUGAAAUGUCAGUGUUAUCCUCAACUCCAACGAUUUUUCUUUUCCCUGAAAGAACUAUGUGGCGCUUUAGCUGGUCAUCUGACUUAUUAGUACCCCUCCUUAUUGGUUUACUUGACAUGCCCUUUACGUAGAAAACUUGAGUCACAUCAUUGGCUAAGACGAAUGGUUCAUCUCUAUAUCCAAUUUUGUUGAGAUCCACUAUUAUCAUCCCAUAGUUGUUUAUCGUUAUGCCUCCU
rnacentral:lncRNA from 1 species